rnacentral:rRNA from 1 species
CGUAGGGUGCGAGCGUUAAUCGGAAUUACUGGGCGUAAAGCGUGCGCAGGCGGUUUGUUAAGAUAGGCGUGAAAUCCCCGGGCUCAACCUGGGAACUGCGCUUAUGACUGGCAAGCUAGAGUACGGCAGAGGGGGGUGGAAUUCCACGUGUAGCAGUGAAAUGCGUAGAGAUGUGGAGGAACACCAAUGGCGAAGGCAGCCCCCUGGGUCGAUACUGACGCUCAUGCACGAAAGCGUGGGUAGCAAACAGGAUUAGAUACCCUGGUAGUCCACGCCCUAAACGAUGUCAACUAGGUGUUGGAUGGGUAAAAACCAUUUAGUACCGGAGCUAACGCGUGAAGUUGACCGCCUGGGGAGUACGGCCGCAAGGUUA